CGGCCAUGAGGAGAUACUUUCUGUGUUGAAUUAGGGUGAUGUUUUUAUACGCUAUUCUGAGCCGAUA